AUUGAACGCUGGCGGCAGGCCUAACACAUGCAAGUCGAGCGGGGUUUUCGGACCUAGCGGCGGACGGGGGAGUAAUGCGUAGGAAGCUACCCGAUAGAGGGGGAUACCAGUUGGAAACGACUGUUAAUACCGCAUAAUGUCUACGGACCAAAGUGUGGGACCUUCGGGCCACAUGCUAUCGGAUGCGCCUACGUGGGAUUAGCUAGUUGGUGAGGUAAUGGCUCACCAAGGCGACGAUCCCUAGCCGGUGUGAGAGGAUGAUCAGCCACACUGGAACUGAGACACGGUCCAGACUCCUACGGGAGGCAGCAGUGGGGAAUAUUGGACAAUGGGCGCAAGCCUGAUCCAGCCAUGCCGCGUGUGUGAAGAAGGCCUUCGGGUUGUAAAGCACUUUCAGCGAGGAGGAAGGGGUGAGUGUUAAUAGUACUCAUCUUUGACGUUACUCGCAGAAGAAGCACCGGCUAACUCUGUGCCAGCCGCCGCGGUAAAAC
rnacentral:rRNA from 1 species